rnacentral:sRNA from 1 species
CUUAGUCAUACGGAGAUGAUUGAUAAACGAAAAAGUUUAUUAACACUCAACAAACGAAGGAUGGAUUAUUUUAGCGUAGAGGAUCAUUCGGAUUUUAUCAAGCACCAACUGCUUCUUCUCAAAACGGUCUCAUAUACAUGCUGCAAAUCGAAACCAGCCGAUAAAGCGGUGCACAACAACACAAAUCAACGUAGUAGUAUAACCAACAACACUUCCAAGACGGUUUAAUCGCUUCUUCGUUCUCAAUCAUACCGCAAGCCGACUUUUUCCUCGGCAUGCAGGGAUACACCCUAUUUCGGCCUCUUGUCCCGUUACGGCAUAGUCGGGAGGCACAUGCCUAACAUUGGGAAAAUAUACGGGAACCUCUUUCACAUCGGGCAAGAUAAUUGGUCUUUUGCUGAUUGCAGCCGUCCAUUUGACGUUUUGUGAGGAUUCACUCACUCUUCGUGCCAUCCUCGUGGUGAUGAGAAUGUCCUUCAUUGCUUCCAGUUCCAAGACGGCUUUGACGGCCACUCGAGGUCCAAGGGCAAUCGACACAUGCAAUCCGACGACGUCGGAGAGAAGCAGGUGUAUCCACUGCUAGCAAUCCCGGAGCAAAACACUGAAGGCAGGUCUAGCAGCUGUGUCUGACUCCAGUCAACGAAGCCGCAAAAUACGAGCGGCCGAGGCCAAUGGGGCUACCAGUCGCUCAGCAAAAGUUUUUGGAAAGCGUUUGGAUAUCUAUUAUCAUGGCAACUUACUGGGUUCCCCAUGGAAAUCGACGCUUUGCUAGACAUCGAUUCGGCAUCGUAAUAAAAAAUCUUCUCUGGAGACGCGGUUGGAAAUGGAGAAAAGUCUGAUAGAGAGGUGUUCAAGCUUAUUUUCUUCCUCAUAAUGACGAAAAAAAUGUGGGAUGGCAAAGAGAUCUGUAAAAGUCAUAAG